UACACUCCUCAUCACCAAACCCAUCGGUUUCUCUCUCUACUGCCAAUCCCCAAUUUCAUUUUCUUUAUUCUUUCUUCUGAAUCCCUAAUUGAAACGUACAACAGCAUUUCCCCUUCCUUCUUCCUCAUUUCGUCGCCAACUCCGCCGAGAAUCAGUCACCGCCGUUCACGCCCUCCUCUGGCGUCUCUCUCCCUUCUCUAUUCGUCUCAUCUUCCCCUAAUUGAAGAACCCUACUGUUACAGAAGAAGGCAGCGCCUCCAUCUUCUCCGUUGAGCCUUCUGCUGAGCUCUCCCUCCAGCAAGCAGCGCUGCUGCCUGUGUUAUCUACGGCUUCCUCCGACGAGUUCUCCGUCGCCGACCACGCCGCUCGCUGCUUGUGUCGCCGUUUCCGUCUCCCGCCGCUCGACGAGGUAGCAACGCUCCCGCCGGCGCUGCUGCUGUCGAUUUAGCAUAGGCUCAAUUGUGGUAUUAUUCACUGGAAUUGGUCUUUGGCUAUGGAUUUUGAUGGUUCGCUACUGUUCCAUAAUUGGUGUGAGGAUCCUAUUGGAAAUUCUAAGUUCUGGAGCUA